rnacentral:rRNA from 1 species
GACGAACCGAGCGACCGUUGUUCGGAAUCACUGGGCUUAAAGGGCGCGUAGGCGGGUGCUCAAGUCUGUGGUGAAAUCCUCCGGCUCAACCGGAGAACUGCCAUGGAUACUGGGUGUCUCGAGGGUGGUAGGGGUAUGCGGAACUAUCGGUGGAGCGGUGAAAUGCGUUGAUAUCGAUAGGAACUCCGGUGGCGAAGGCGGCAUACUGGACCACUUCUGACGCUGAGGCGCGAAAGCCAGGGGAGCAAACGGG